CUGGUUAGACAUAUUGAUGUGCUAACCUAAUUUAAUCAGUCGGAUGUUAGAUCUGCUGAUUUAGAAGAAACUUAAAUUCAAAUCUUCUCAUUAAAUAUUAAGUCUAAAGGUCUUCCAUCAUUAUAAAGAUGCAGGUGCCUUCCUGGCGUUGAUCAUUCUCGAUUGAUUACAGUGGUUCGGUUGCAUCAGGAAGGUACAACCACUCUAUUGAUAUUUGAUAUCUCAGGGUAGAAAUCGGGUUAGGCCCAAUAAUUGUUAGGUGAGGGUCUCAAUGAC
rnacentral:lncRNA from 1 species